rnacentral:misc_RNA from 1 species
UACGGAGGGUGCAAGCGUUGUUCGGAAUUAUUGGGCGUAAAGCGCGUGUAGGUGGUGAGGUAAGUCACGUGUGAAAUCCCCCGGCUUAACCGGGGACGUGCAUGUGAUACUGCUUUACUUGAGUACCGGAGGGGGCAGCGGAAUUCCAUGUGUAGGAGUGAAAUCCGUAGAUAUAUGGAGGAACACCGGUGGCGAAGGCGGCUGCCUGGCCGAGUACUGACAUUGAGACGCGAAAGUGUGGGGAGCAAACAGG